UUCCUAUCAUUACGAAGCAGAAUUCGCUAAGCGUCGGAUUGUUCACCCGCUAACAGGGAACGUGAGCUGGGUUUAGACCGUCGUGAAACAGGUUAGUUUUACCCUACUAAUGACUAGUCAUUGCGAUAGUAAUCCUGCUCAGUACGAGAGAAAACCGCAGGUUCGGACAUUUGGUUCACGCACUCGGUCGAGCGGCCGGUGGUGCGAAGCUACCAUCCGUGGGAUUAUGCCUGAACGCCUCUA
rnacentral:ncRNA from 1 species